UUUUAUGAAGUUUAUUUUACAUAAUUAUAUUUAAUUUUCUUUGAAAUUUUGUGUUGAUAUUGUAAAUUUAAAGUGUGUUUUAGCUAGCACACGUAAUUUCGCUAUUUUCCUAAUCCUUUUCCUACGUGGAAUAAAUGAGGGCAUAUUAAAGUUUGCUCUUCUCUUGUUGAUCUUGGAGGAACGUCUUGCGUUUAAUUUAGUUUUAGCAUUUCCAACAAUUUGACUACGAAGGAAAAUAGUACUUUGAACUACUUCAGAGUUCUUUGUUGGUAUUUUGGGUUGUUGACUAAGGAAGUGGACAUUAUACUGUUGAUGUUCCAGAAUUGUUCUUUCCAAAUAUUUGACACUGGAUUAGAAAGAAGGGAUUUUUAUCUAUGGAUCAUCCCACGAUCUCAUCUCAGUUGUCGUUAUCUGUCUAUGUCUUGUCUAUGGUCUAUGAUUCAUCUUGCAUGCACCUUGUCUAUCUUGUCCAAUCUUACCUUCGGUUUUCGAGAAGACGGCAGGUUACCCUUUUUGCUGUUCAUAAAUGGAGACGACGCCGGAAGUUCAGACCUGCUUUGAGAUGACAUCCUUGGAUUUGAUGGGCAAACGGCUUACACAUGUAAUGUUUGUGACAAACAAACAAACAACAAAAAUACUUAUAAUGAGCUGGUCAAAUAGGAUAGAGGGUACUAACAAUGGUAAUUAUCAUUAAUAAUAAAAUAACAAAACCUAGUGAACAUAUAAGUAAUAUUAAAUUGUUUCAACAGGUUUCCAUUAAAACAUAA